UACGGAGGGAGCUAGCGUUGUUCGGAAUUACUGGGCGUAAAGCGCACGUAGGCGGCUAUUCAAGUCAGAGGUGAAAGCCCGGGGCUCAACCCCGGAACUGCCUUUGAAACUAGGUAGCUAGAAUCUUGGAGAGGUCAGUGGAAUUCCGAGUGUAGAGGUGAAAUUCGUAGAUAUUCGGAAGAACACCAGUGGCGAAGGCGGCUCACUGGCCCGGUACUGACGCUGAGGUGCGAAAGCGUGGGGAGCAAACAGG
rnacentral:rRNA from 1 species